GGGAGGAAAAGAAACCAACAGGGAUUGCCCUAGUAACGGCGAGUGAAGCGGCAACAGCUCAAAUUUGAAAGCUGGCCUUCGGGUCCGCAUUGUAAUUUGUAGAGGAUGCUUUGGGGCAGCCGCCUGUCUAAGUUCCUUGGAACAGGACGUCAUAGAGGGUGAGAAUCCCGUAUGUGACAGGACAUGGCACCCUAUGUAAAGCUCCUUCGACGAGUCGAGUUGUUUGGGAAUGCAGCUCUAAAUGGGAGGUAAAUUUCUUCUAAAGCUAAAUACCGGCGAGAGACCGAUAGCGCACAAGUAGAGUGAUCGAAAGAUGAAAAGCACUUUGGAAAGAGAGUUAAAAAGCACGUGAAAUUGUUGAAAGGGAAGCGCUUGCAAUCAGACUUGUUUAAACUGUUCGGCCGGUCUUCUGACCGGUUUACUCAGUUUGGACAGGCCAGCAUCAGUUUCGGCGGCCGGAUAAAGGCCCUAGGAAUGUGACCCCCUCUUCGGAGGGGGUGUUAUAGCCUGGGGUGUAAUACGGCCAGCCGGGACUGAGGUCCGCGCUUCGGCUAGGAUGCUGGCGUAAUGGUUGUAAGCGACCCGUCUUG
rnacentral:rRNA from 1 species